ACCCUUUCAGCAACACAACUCCAAUUCCAGCUAACUCCACUGUCCUUUUAUCUUUUUCGCAGCAAGUUUUUUUUUGCCCCAUGACUGAAAAAGGGGAGUUUUAUGCAUAGAGAAGUACUAUGGCAUUAAAUGUAGUCUGCAACAAUUUUUUUUUUUUUUUUUUGUUUUCUUGCUUGAGAGCCAUUGCAGGCUGGAAAACAGCUGGAGUUUCACUCUUCAUACACUGGCAGCUAGGUUUAGGGAUUUGGUAGCUAGGAUUUUUGGUGAGAAGUUUUCCUAUAAAUAGAGACAAUGUUGCCACUCUUCCUCAUUCAGCAGGUCAGGCCAUUUCUUUUGACGCCACCUUCUACGCCUUUUAACAUCUCAAUCUGCAACCUUUCUCAUUUAGUCAAAUUUUAGCAGCCAACAACUCUCUUUUAACUUCACAUUUUAACCCCAAAUUUCCAUUCUCUUCUUUCCACACUUAGAAUUUCAGAACGGCAGAAAUCUUCAUUCAUCCUCUGCCAAGAAGCUUCAAGGAAGUAAGUAUUCUUUAACUAUCUUCUUACGAUCCAAAUUUCACCGUUGUUUAUGAGGUAGACGAGAUCAGGCGGAGGCAGGCUGCCCUGUUCGUCAAGGUGGAGGAGCCUUCCUCCGAUGGCACUUGAGAGUUUGGGCUGAGAACGGAGAUGGUGUUGAAAAGCAAUACGGGUCGACAGAGCUAUGAGAGACUGCUCCGAUUCGCCGAACGUCUAGCAACGACAGCACGGCUGACUCGUGUCAGCGAGCCAGAGGGAGGCGACGACCCCCACCAGUCUUUCAGGCGCGGCGGUGGCUGACCGCGUCGGAAGAAGGGAGAGCUAGGGCUCGACUUUUCUCCCUCAAAUUACGAUCUUCCGUUCAGAGUUGAGGAGGAAAGAAGCAGCGCCUAGGACAGCGCCGGCUCACCGGAAAUCACAGGACGGCGGCGUUUUCAGGCGGAGCAACGUCGGCCUUGGGGCGACAACGUCGCCUGAGAUUUCAGAACCGCAGCGGAGUCAUGGACGAAGGUGUUGGCCGUUAGCCGGAUUUCGGAGAGCAGCAACAGCGAUUUCUGAUUUUGACGAAAUUAGGGCUUCUUUUCCCAUCCCUUCAUCUGGCUUGAGGGAGACGAAUUGAGGAGAGGAGGAAACAGCCGAGAAGCAGCGCCCUCAGCUGGCCGUCGUCCUCGCCGGAGCAGCUCGCGGCGGAGUUGCAGGCGUUGGUUUGGGGCGCGAUUUCUUCAUCUUCUUGGCCUUGAGGUCGGCGCCGCGGGGGCUCUUGGCGGCGUCGUGGUGGUGCAGGAAGCUUUGGGUUUGAGCAUGGUGGAGUUGGAGGCUCAGCUUUCUCUGCACCAUGGUUUUUUUUG
rnacentral:lncRNA from 1 species